rnacentral:tRNA from 1 species
UGUAGCUGAGUGGGUAAAGCAUUUGCCUAGCGUGCAAGAAGCCCUGAGUUCAAUCCCCAGCA